GGCUGUGUGGGGGAUGACUCACGGGCACUUCAACAUCAGACCCGUCAGCUGCAAACAUGUUGCUCAGGUGGUUGGUGACCCUUUCCCUUCUUCUACCUGUCGUCUCAGCCGAGUAUUAUUGCAAGUAUGUAUCUAGCAGUGGCUAUUCAACAUACAGAUCGUGUCCCAAUGGCUGUUGCACCAAGACCUGCUGCAAGACAAGUUCUGUCGGUUUUGGUGUCUACAUUGGUGGGUCUGCCGGUGGAGUGUCAUUCAUCAUCUUUUGUUGCUGCAUUUACUACUUUUGCUGCCGGUCCAAUAAUACCCGGGUGGUGCCAAUAAUUAUCUAAGUAUUUGGAGGAUACCUGCCGGGCGCACAUGCGAUAACGGUGAUGUCUUCACAACCAAUCAAAAUUCAAACAUGGCCAAUCCCUAUAAUCUUGAAACCAUGUUUCUAGUUCCCCGUUGACCUAUACCUGCUCUCUGUUUCUCGUUGUUUAUUGCCAACAAAGAUUUGAUCGCGGUGUAUGCAGAAAAAGAUUUUGCGCAUGCCAAAGGCAGGGCAAGGACCUGUGUUGUGAGCAGAUCUCAGCAUUACGACUCUCGUAGCCCAUAUAUUCUAACCCUGGGCUACAAAUGCUACAUGGAAACAGCCCCUUUAUAUCUCACCGAACUGCCUAAAUACAAGCCUUCCAGAUAUCCCCGUUCACC